rnacentral:rRNA from 1 species
GAACUUUCCAGAGAUGGAUUGGUGCCUUCGGGAACUGUGAGACAGGUGCUGCAUGGCUGUCGUCAGCUCGUGUUGUGAAAUGUUGGGUUAAGUCCCGCAACGAGCGCAACCCUUAUCCUUUGUUGCCAGCGGUCCGGCCGGGAACUCAAAGGAGACUGCCAGUGAUAAACUGGAGGAAGGUGGGGAUGACGUCAAGUCAUCAUGGCCCUUACGACCAGGGCUACACACGUGCUACAAUGGCGCAUACAAAGAGAAGCGACCUCGCGAGAGCAAGCGGACCUCAUAAAGUGCGUCGUAGUCCGGAUUGGAGUCUGCAACUCGACUCCAUGAAGUCGGAAUCGCUAGUAAUCGUGGAUCA